GCGCGAUGAGGAAGAAUAUCACAUACACACACUCCGAAUUCUGUGAGGAGAUAAUUAAGAACGGAUAUCUGAGCGC
rnacentral:snoRNA from 16 species